AUUUGUUUCUCCAAAUGCCAGAUUUCUCCAUGUGUAUAUAGGUAGAAACAGUAAGUUGGAAUUUCGCAUAGCAGAAAUGGAGAAGUCUGUGAAACGUAUCCGUCUGUUAGUUCUAUUAGUCAUUGUCAUCUCUGGUUUUGUUGGUAAAAGUGAAGCAAAAUAUGAAUGCAUGGGUCACGAAGAUUGCAAAUCGGUGUGCCCUCACUGCACCGCUCAGGUAUCCUGUUGGAUGGAAGACCAUGGCUCAAGAUGCUUUUGUGGCAACCCAGGCCGAACUCUGGUUCUUCCCUGUAACGUUCCCCCGGAAAAAUGAAGCAAUAAAUAAAUAAAUA